rnacentral:misc_RNA from 1 species
UGUACACACCGCCCGUCACACCAUGGAAGUUGGUUUUGCCCGAAGUCGUUACCCCAACCGCAAGGAGGGGGACGCCGAAGGCAGGGCUGAUGACUGGGGUGAAGUCGUAACAAGGUAGCCGUACCGGAAGGUGUGGCUGGAUCACCUCCUUUUCAGGGAGACCAACUGAAGUGAUGAAGUAAGACAGGCGUUGGCGGAGCAAUUCGUCAUCCCGGAUUGAGAAUUCAUCAUUUCGGGCAUCCCAGGUCGGUCGAAGAAUAGUGGUGAGGCUUUCAAACUAUAUUGGUUUGAUUAAUUGGGCUAUUAGCUCAGGUGGUUAGAGCGCACCCCUGAUAAGGGUGAGGUCCCUGGUUCGAGUCCAGGAUGGCCCACCUCAAAAAUAAUGAAUGAUGAAUAAAGUAAAAUUCUUAAUUCAUUAUUUAUAACUUUUUCGGGGGUAUAGCUCAGUUGGUAGAGCGCCUGCUUUGCAAGCAGGAUGUCAGCGGUUCGAGUCCGCUUACCUCCACUUGAUCGUGUAUAAAGUUGAUGUUAAAGUUAGAAAAAGGUUUUUUCUAAACAACACAUUUUCAACAAAAGCACGAUAGACUAGAUAAGUUGUGGAUAAGUUCAGCAACUGAACGAUAUUGAAAUCGUUAGACUGCUGGAUACGUUUCCAGCCAGAACCUUGAAAACUGCAUAGUAACGCGUAAAGAAGGUAAAAGGUGAAAGGUAAAAGGUAAAAGGAAGUUUUUCCCUUUCCUCCUUACCCAUUCCCCUUUGACCUUCGGAAAAUAACACCAAUGUGGUCAAGC